CUCCUAGGUCACAAUUUCUCUCAGGUGGAAGGUGUUGGCUUUCACAGUCAGCCUCCUCUUUGAACAUGUGACAGGGAGGAGCCAUCUAGAUUUAACUUUUACCCCAAAGCUGUUCUUAGUCCUCUGUCCAGAAGAUACUUUGUCCAUCAGAACCUCAUUUUUCAGUUUUUUAAUUGUGCACAUGAGCUGUAUUAGGAAAGGCUCAUCUCCAAUGGGGAUAUUGAGGCCUGUUCUGAGGCCUAGCCGACAGUGGACUUCUCUCAAUUGCUGCUUCUCGCCUAUCGCGAAGACGGUUGCGCGGUGUCUUCUGUUUCUUGCUGAUGCCCCAGCCUAUCAAAGCUUUCAAAAUCRCACACUGUGUUUCAGGAGUGUGUAAUCAGUGAUUGUAGAAAGCUUCAUAAAUUAUGAUGAAGUAAUCGCAUGUAAGAUAUUACUAUUCAAUUGCAGAAGUUUGGUUACUAGCAUGUGUCACAUCACAUACCUGCACAUAUCUUGUGUUUUAAUUGGUAGCAUUGUAAAUGACCGGUAAUCAUUUUCCAGACACAGUUGGUCUUAAGCUUUAAUUUAGGCAUGUGUAGCAGUUCUGCUUAAUGCAACAAAACACUAGCUAAUGUAAGGGUCAAGGAAGAUAUUAACUGAAAGGAUGAUUUAAAAACUAGAUUAUCCCUACAUAUUAUCUUUGCCAUCAAAUGAACUCUGUUUUGGCAAAAUUGUUAAAGAAUUGCUAAAGAAGUAAAGAUAGCCUAACCUUUCCUUGGAUUUUGGAGAAUAUUCUGCAUUUUUCUAAAUUGAAUGUUUACUUUUUCUUUUAAAGCAUGGGUACAGGCAUAUAUGGUAGCCUAACCCUUUGCUUUUCUUCUUUGUUAAUAUUUUGACUGUUGUAUGCAAUGUUUCUUUAUUUGCUGCUUAARGUGGUGAGUCGUUGGGUGCAGUUAUAUGCUUAGCAGUAACCUUUACUCAUAAUGUGAUAUUGUCUGUAUGUCUUAUUUUGUUCAGCUUUUGCUGGCACUGAUGAGGCCUAAGGCUGCUGUUUCUUUGGGCUACUGAUAAUUUUUUAUCUGAUUAACUGACAUAUUUAGUUGAAAUCAGACACAGCCCUUAGGCUCAGCAUGGAUUUAAUUUAAAAAGUAUCAAAGGUUUGCACUGUGUGCUGUUUAAUCAUCAUGUUUAUCAGCCAAAGAAAAAUUACCGGAAGGACCAUAGGGAGAGGGUUAUCUUAAGGAGCAGUAGCUUGGGAAAUUGAUAAUAACUACGAGGUAAUUUACUGCUAACUUUUAUAUUCAUUAAUGUAACAUUUCGCACUAAUAAUUACAGUGCAUGUAAUAAAGUAAUUAAAUUGAAAGCAUUAUCACUAAUCUUCUUUUUUUUGAACUCUGAGAGGGUCAGGUAGAGAUGUUAAAAUGUGAAAUUAAACAAAACUCCUGUACUCAUAUCUCUGUGAUAAAUAUUUUGCUUGCUAUUAGAAUCCUUCUGCCAGAAUGGUAUGUUAAAACCUGUAUUUAGACCUUUUGCUCAAAUUAUUAUCACUCUUUAAUUGAAUAUCAAUCACUGAAUAGAGGCCAGAGGAGGAAGUGAAGUGGGAGGAGGCAAAUUUAAAAUCAUGCUGCUCAAACAUAUUGCUUCUAAGGUUCUGCUUAUCUUUUGUAUAAGCUAUGUACCACUCUGUCAAUAUUAUGUAUG